GACGAACGCUGGCGGCGUGCUUAACACAUGCAAGUCGAACGGUAAGGCCCUUCGGGGUACACGAGUGGCGAACGGGUGAGUAACACGUGGGUGAUCUGCCCUGCACUUCGGGACAAGCCUGGGAAACUGGGUCUAAUACCGGAUAGGACCACUGCCUGCAUGGGUGGUGGUGGAAAGCUUUUGCGGUGUGGGAUGGGCCCGCGGCCUAUCAGCUUGUUGGUGGGGUGAUGGCCUACCAAGGCGACGACGGGUAGCCGGCCUGCGAGGGCGACCGGCCACACUGGGACUGAGACACGGCCCAGACUCCUACGGGAGGCAGCAGUGGGGAAUAUUGCACAAUGGGCGCAAGCCUGAUGCAGCGACGCCGCGUGAGGGAUGAAGGUCUUCGGAUUGUAAACCUCUUUCAGUAGGGACGAAGCGAAAGUGACGGUACCUAAAGAAGAAGCACCGGCUAACUACGUGCCAGCCGCCGCUGUAA
rnacentral:rRNA from 1 species